AGAGUUUGAUCCUGGCUCAGGAUGAACGCUAGCNACAGGCNUAACACAUGCAAGUCGAGGGGUAACAGGAGAGAAGCUUGCUUUUCUUGCUGACGACCGGCGCACGGGUGAGUAACGCGUAUCCAACCUUCCCCUUAGUAGCGGAUAGCCCGGCGAAAGUCGGAUUAAUACGCUAUGUUCUUCGUUGAUGGCAUCUGAUGUGAAGCAAAGAUUUAUCGCCAAAGGGAUGGGGGAUGCGUCUGAUUAGGUAGUCGGCGGGGUAACGGCCCACCGAGCCAUCGAUCAGUAGGGUUCUGAGAGGAAGGUCCCCCACACUGGUACUGAGACACGGACCAGACUCUACGGGAGGCAGCAGUGAGGAAUAUUGGUCAAUGGGCGCGAGCCUGAACCAGCCAAGUAGCGUGCAGGACGACUGCCCUAUGGGUUGUAAACUGCUUUUAUCAGGGAAUAAAGUAGAGGCACGUGUGCCUUUUUGUAUGUACCUGAUGAAUAAGGACCGGCUAAUUCCGUGCCAGCAGCCGCGGUAAUACGGAAGGUCCGGGCGUUAUCCGGAUUUAUUGGGUUUAAAGGGAGCGCAGGCUGGUUUUUAAGCGUGACGUGAAAUGUGGCGGCUCAACCGCCGAACUGCGUCGCGAACUGGGAGCCUUGAGUGAGUACGACGUUGGCGGAAUUCGUGGUGUAGCGGUGAAAUGCUUAGAUAUCACGAAGAACCCCGAUUGCGAAGGCAGCUGACGAGUCCUUAACUGACGCUAAAGCUCGAAAGUGCGGGUAUCGAACAGGAUUAGAUACCCAUGGUAGUCCGCACGGUAAACGAUGGAUGCCCGCUGUUGGCGACACACUGUCAGCGGCCAAGCGAAAGCGUUAAGCAUCCCACCUGGGGAGUACGCCGGCAACNNNNAAACUCAAAGGAAUUGACGGGGGCCCGCACAAGCGGAGGAACAUGUGGUUUAAUUCGAUGAUACGCGAGGAACCUUACCCGGGCUUGAACUGCAGCGGAAGGAUACAGAGAUGUUGACGUCUUCGGGACCGCUGUGGAGGUGCUGCAUGGUGUCGUCAGCUCGUGCC
rnacentral:rRNA from 1 species